rnacentral:rRNA from 1 species
UACGAAGGGGACUAGCGUUGUUCGGAAUUACUGGGCGUAAAGCGCGCGUAGGCGGAUCGCUAAGUCAGGGGUGAAAUCCCAGGGCUCAACCCUGGAACUGCCUUUGAUACUGACGAUCUGGAGAUCGGGAGAGGUUGGUGGAAUUCCGAGUGUAGAGGUGAAAUUCGUAGAUAUUCGGAGGAACACCAGUGGCGAAGGCGGCUCACUGGCCCGAUACUGACGCUGAGGCACGAAAGCGUGGGGAGCAAACAGG